rnacentral:rRNA from 1 species
GACGAACGCUGGCGGCGUGCCUAAUACAUGCAAGUUGAGCGAUGAAGCUUGGUGCUUGCACCAAUUUGAAGAGCAGCGAACGGGUGAGUAACGCGUGGGGAAUCUGCCUUUGAGCGGGGGACAACAUUUGGAAACGAAUGCUAAUACCGCAUAACAACUUUAAACAUAAGUUUUAAGUUUGAAAGAUGCAAUUGCAUCACUCAAAGAUGAUCCCGCGUUGUAUUAGCUAGUUGGUGAGGUAAAGGCUCACCAAGGCGAUGAUACAUAGCCGACCUGAGAGGGUGAUCGGCCACAUUGGGACUGAGACACGGCCCAAACUCCUACGGGAGGCAGCAGUAGGGAAUCGUCGGCAAUGGACGAAAGUCUGACCGAGCAACGCCGCGUGAGUGAAGAAGGUUUUCGGAUCGUAAAACUCUGUUGGUAGAGAAGAACGUUGGUGAGAGUGGAAAGCUCAUCAAGUGACGGUAACUACCCAGAAAGGGACGGCUAACUACGUG